rnacentral:rRNA from 1 species
UUGGAGGGCAAGUCUGGUGCCAGCAGCCGCGGUAAUUCCAGCUCCAAUAGCGUAUAUUAAAGUUGUUGCAGUUAAAAAGCUCGUAGUUGAAUUUCGGGGUUCAUCCGUUGGUCGGGCUUUUUGGUCUGUACUGGCGUGAUGGAUUCCUACCUUCUGAAUAACCAGCAUGUCAUUAAUUUGGUGCGCUGGGGAAGCAGGACUGUUACCUUGAAAAAAUUAGAGUGCUUAAAGCAGGCUAUCGCCUGAAUACAUUAGCAUGGAAUAAUGAAAUAGGACGGCAUGGUUCUAUUUUGUUGGUUUCUAGGAUCACCGUAAUGAUUAAUAGGGAUAGUUGGGGGCAUUAGUAUUCAAUUGUCAGAGGUGAAAUUCUUGGAUUUAUUGAAGACUAACUUCUGCGAAAGCAUUUGCCAAGGAUGUUUUCAUUAAUCAAGAACGAAAGUUAGGGGAUCGAAGACGAUCAGAUACCGUCGUAGUCUUACGACUAAAUAACUAUCGACCUAGGAGGUACGGUACGGACGUAGUUAGUUUUUAAAUUUUUAGUACGUACGUU